rnacentral:lncRNA from 1 species
UAACCACGAGGGAGGUUUAUUUACUCUGUUGAAAUAAUUGAAAAGCAGUCCUUUUUAUUAGUGUCACAGCUGGUUCUUCCAUGAUGGAAGAAAUACAAUUAUGUGUCUUCCUAUGGCUGAAUGCAGACAGCUACAACCUCAUUAUUUAUUUGGGUAGCAAAUGAAUCUUUUAUAAUGAGCAAGGGGUGGGCACGCAUCUAAACCUCAUUUGUUAAGAAAACAAAGUUUCUGGAAUGGCAUUCCCCUUGACACCACGGACACUCAUGCUUUCAUCUCAUUGCUACAUAGCAGGGCACGAUCAAUUUAGAAGCCAUCCCAGAGAAGCGGUCGUUACAGCACAGACUGUGGGCACUGGCAUCAGGCUGAUCUGUGUUCAAACAGAAGCUCUGUUUCCAACUGCUAUGGAUAGGAGAGCCUUAGUUCUUCUGAACUCUUGAUUAUUUGUUUAUUGACUGAUUGGUUGAUUGACUUUCCAUGAAGCCUCACAAAGUUCCCUGGGUGACUUUAAAUCCCUAGACCCAAGAAUACUCCCACUUUGGUUCCUGAGUAGUUGGGACCACAUGCACACAUUUCCAUCCUUGGCAACCUUGGCUUUAGCUUUAACUGGUAAAUAAUUGUACCUAUUUAUAGGGUGCAAUGUGAUAUUUCAAAUACGUGUGUUCAUUGCGAAAUCACCAAACUAAGGUCACUAGUCCUCUCACCCUUUCAAGCCCUUACUAUUUCUUUGGUGAGAACAUGUGACAUCCCAUCCUUUUCUACAUGUUUUGUUGUUCUAUUUUUUCUUUUUAUUGAAAGUAGAUUCCUUUCCUCACAUAAUAUAUCCUGAUUACAAUUUUCCUUUCCUCUGCUCCUCCCAGUCUCUCCCCACCUCCUCCCAUUCAGAUCCACCUCUUUCUGUCUCUCAUUAGAAAACAAGGAGGCCUCUAAGGGAUAAUGAUAUGAUAUAUGAUAUAACAAAAAUAAACAUAUUGGAACUGGACCAAAAAUUAAAAAAAAAAACAGAAAGAGCCCAAGAGAAAAAUACAUGAAGCAGAGACACAUCUGUUGUACCCUCAGGAAUCCCAUAAAAGUACUACAUGGGAAAUCAUAAUAUAUAUGCAAAGGACCUAGUGCAGACCUAUGUAGGCCCUGUGUCUUCCACAUGUUCUAAAACACUUAUUUUAAUUAACAGUGGUUACUUUGCUAUUUCUCUUCUAUCACUGUAACUCAGUACUCACUGGCUACCUCUCCUUAAUUGUCCUUACUUCUUGUUCUCUCUAACUCUGUUAACCAGUCUCUCUCUCUCUCUCUC